UACAGAGGGUGCGAGCGUUAAUCGGAAUUACUGGGCGUAAAGCGCGCGUAGGCGGCUUGGUAUGUCGGGUGUGAAAUCCCCGGGCUCAACCUGGGAACUGCAUCCGAAACUGCCUUGCUAGAGUAUGGGAGAGGGAAGUGGAAUUUCCGGUGUAGCAGUGAAAUGCGUAGAUAUCGGAAGGAACACCCGUGGCGAAGGCGACUUCCUGGACCAAUACUGACGCUCAAGUGCGAAAGCGUGGGGAGCAAACAGG
rnacentral:rRNA from 1 species